rnacentral:rRNA from 1 species
UACGUAGGGUGCAAGCGUUGUCCGGAAUUAUUGGGCGUAAAGAGCUCGUAGGCGGUUUGUCGCGUCUGCCGUGAAAGUCCGGGGCUCAACUCCGGAUCUGCGGUGGGUACGGGCAGACUAGAGUGCAGUAGGGGAGACUGGAAUUCCUGGUGUAGCGGUGAAAUGCGCAGAUAUCAGGAGGAACACCGGUGGCGAAGGCGGGUCUCUGGGCCGUAACUGACGCUGAGGAGCGAAAGCGUGGGGAGCGAACAGG